CCUACGGGUGGCAGCAGUGGGGAAUAUUGGACAAUGGGCGAAAGCCUGAUCCAGCCAUGCCGCGUGUGUGAAGAAGGCCUUCGGGUUGUAAAGCACUUUCAGUGGGGAAGAAAGCCUUGGGGCUAAUACCCUCGAGGAAGGACAUCACCCACAGAAGAAGCACCGGCUAACUCCGUGCCAGCAGCCGCGGUAAUACGGAGGGUGCGAGCGUUAAUCGGAAUUACUGGGCGUAAAGCGCGCGUAGGCGGUCUGAUAAGCCGGUUGUGAAAGCCCCGGGCUCAACCUGGGAACGGCAUCCGGAACUGUCAGGCUAGAGUGCAGGAGAGGAAGGUAGAAUUACCGGUGUAGCGGUGAAAUGCGUAGAGAUCGGGAGGAAUACCAGUGGCGAAGGCGGCCUUCUGGACUGACACUGACGCUGAGGUGCGAAAGCGUGGGUAGCAAACAGGAUUAGAUACCCGAGUAGUC
rnacentral:rRNA from 1 species